rnacentral:rRNA from 1 species
AUUAAACGCUGGCGGCAUGCCUUACACAUGCAAGUCGAACGGCAGCACGGGGGCAACCCUGGUGGCGAGUGGCGGACGGGUGAGUAAAGCAUCGGAACGUAUCCUGGAGUGGGGGAUAACGUAGCGAAAGUUACGCUAAUACCGCAUAUUCUGUGAGCAGGAAAGCAGGGGAUCGCAAGACCUUGCGCUCUGGGAGCGGCCGAUGUCGGAUUAGCUAGUUGGUGGGGUAAAGGCCUACCAAGGCGACGAUCCGUAGCGGGUCUGAGAGGAUGAUCCGCCACACUGGGACUGAGACACGGCCCAGACUCCUACGGGAGGCAGCAGUGGGGAAUUCUGGACAAUGGGCGGAAGCCUGAUCCAGCCAUGCCGCGUGAGUGAAGAAGGCCUCGGUUGUAAG